rnacentral:rRNA from 1 species
GACGAACGCUGGCGGCGUGCUUAACACAUGCAAGUCGAACGGAAAAGCCCUGCUUUUGUGUGGUUCUCGAGUGGCGAGCGGGUGAGUAACACAUGAGUCACCUUCCCUUUACUUUGGGAUAACUUCAGGCGACUGCUGCUACUACCUGCUAGGAGCUCCUGCUGCAUGGUGGGGGUUGGAAAGUUUCGGCGGAUGGGGAUGGACUGGCGGCUAAUCAGCUUGUUGGUUGGGGAGUGGCUUAGCAGGGCUUUGACGGGUAGUCUGCCUGAGAGGGUGACCGGCGACAAUGGGACUGAGAGACGGAGCAGACGCCAACGUGAGGCAGCAGGGGGGAAUAUUGCACAAUGGGCGGAAGUCUGAUGAAGAAACGCCGCGUGCGGGAUGAAGGCCUUCGGGUGGGAAACCGCUGUAGCUUGUGACGAAGCGUGAGUGACGGUAACGGGUAAAGAAGCACCGGCUAACUACGUG